UUUUACUUUGUAAUUGUAAAAAUUGAAGAAUAAUUCGUCUAGUGUAGUGAUUUCUUGGACCCAUUAAUUUUUUGGGCUUAUAGUCAUCCUUACAUUACAGAAGGUUUUUUAUACAAUCAAUAGUUUCCAUAUUAGUAUGUUGUAAAUAAAAUCUUGGGAUACUGAUGUUUUAUGGCAGUUUUUGAAUACACCUUUUUGAGUAUUGGUUAUGACAUAUUGGGCUAGAUUCCGUUCAGUUAUCUUGAACCACAAUUGGAGGCUAUAUGUUCGACACCCUCUGUAUUACGCCAAUUCUUGGAAUGAGACAUCAAGUGGUGUCGCGUUAUUGCAUAGUAUGCCUGCUUUUGCAUUACAUAAGGUAGUAAAAUUUUGGUAUAAAACCAGACCCAGCAAAGGAUUAAAACUCAAAUCGAUCCCAUCCGAACUUCCGACAAAUCUUCUGGAUACAUACAUACAGUAGAAACCUACUCAUUGUAAAGUUUCUGCAAAUCGAGGCAACAUGAAUUUUAAAUUUCUGACUUUCAUCCUCGCCAUGGGGAUUCUGACGAUCCACAGCGGACAAGCAGAUGACGCGGGUUUGGUCCUAGCAGAAGAAAUUCCGGCAGUUGAAGAACUUCCCCCAUGUCAAGAAUUUGCCACAGGUUAUGAAGUUUCCCCUGGGGAAGAACUUCCACCAUGUGAACAAAUUGCCCCUGGUGGUGAAGCAUCCAAAGGUGUAAGCGACACUCGUUCACCCCGAUGCCUUUGGACAUCUUGCGGCAACCCUUGGCCUCGAUGUAGGUUAGGAACUUAUGAGGCUGCCAUACAACGAUGUGGAUUUCCCAACCGAAAGAGACGACUAUGUUGCUCGACUUACUAUUGAGCAUAGGUGGUACCAUGGGCAGAAAAUAGCCUAGGAAACGCUCUAACAAGUUGAUAAAUUAUAAAUAUUUAGAUUGAAUUUAUGUAACAAAAAGUUGUAUAAAAUAUUGAUCCGUUAUUAAAAUAUAAAUGCAUUCGUAAUA